rnacentral:sRNA from 1 species
AAAGUAUUUCAACAAUCGGCGAGCUCAAUAAAAGAAAUAUCAAAAUACAUAAAAGUAGAAACGGGUUAUUUUUUAAGGUCCGUAAAAUUUUGGCGUUUUAUGACUUCUUCAGCAACUACAGGCCUACGGUCAACACAUCUGAUAACAGUUUUUGUUGUCAGAAAGAUACGGUAGUGUUGGGAGGGGGGGUGCCGAGGAGGGGUGUUAUGGCGGCGAUAAAUCAGAUUGCAUUACCUUGGUGCUUCGUGUGUGUGGAGACCCACGGAUAAAAAAAAAUUUGGGAUAGAUAGCACAGAAUUCCAGGCCUGGCUACUGAUAGCGACAGAGAUAGGGGUCGGACCGUGGACACUUCAGAGAACAGUUUUGUCUGGAACAAGCGGACAGACGGACACACCUCGGAUCCUGAUUCUUCCAUUUCGCUAAAGGAUUCGUAUCCGCUUUUGGAAUUAUACCUUAAACAGGCUAUUACUUCGUAACAUGGAUAUUUAGAGUUCUAGAUAAAAAGCUUCCUUGACAUGGAACUUAUUCUAAAAAAAAAAAUAGAAGCAAACGAGGAAUACCUUACGCUCAGGAGGAGUACAUGUCCGGAAUCUCGUUUUUCAAUGAAGUCUGCAAGAGACAUCCAACACCUUAAGGUGACAAGUCCGUCAACCAAAUUCCCCCCUGCCUCUGCAGUUGAAACGUUCUUGACUCCAUGUUUAUUCUGCUUUGGUAAAUAAAGACGUGGCAAGAUGUUUGGUAUGUGGUCCUAUGUACGCACUGAGUAACGUCUGAUUCCAUGCACUUGAGGCUCUGCCAACAUUACUGUCAGCACGCGUUUACAAGGCAUAUAGAGAGACUUAUGUAAAGACCGCAGAUUCUGAUGAUGUAAUUUGUGAGCACUUGACGACGGGCCAAAAGGUCACUAAUUUUAGAAGUGGGCGCAAUCUAGGGUCAUUAUUAUAGGAGGAAGUGUGCUUGUAUCUGUGAGUAUGUGUUGUAGUCGAUGUAGCUUCUGUGUAUUUGACUAUUAGUGUUUAAAUAGAAGAAUGAAAAAUAGUUUAGUUUAGUGUUCUGUUUAUUUCGUGUAACUAAAUAUAAAAUAUUUUGAGGUUGU